UGGACCCGCGUCUGAUUAGCUAGUUGGUAAGGUAACGGCUUACCAAGGCGACGAGCAGUAGCCGACCUGAGAGGGUGAUCGGCCACAUUGGAACUGAGACACGGUCCAAACUCCUACGGGAGGCAGCAGGGGGGAAUAUUGCACAAUGGGCGAAAGCCUGAUGCAGCAACGCCGCGUGAGUGAUGAAGGCCUUCGGGUCGUAAAACUCUGUCCUCAAGGAAGAUAAUGACGGUACUUGAGGAGGAAGCCCCGGCUAACUACGUGCCAGCAGCCGCGGUAAUACGUAGGGGGCUAGCGUUAUCCGGAUUUACUGGGCGUAAAGGGUGCGUAGGCGGUCUUUCAAGUCAGGAGUGAAAGGCUACGGCUCAACCGUAGUAAGCUCUUGAAACUGGGAGACUUGAGUGCAGGAGAGGAGAGUGGAAUUCCUAGUGUAGCGGUGAAAUGCGUAGAUAUUAGGAGGAACACCAGUUGCGAAGGCGGCUCUCUGGACUGU
rnacentral:rRNA from 1 species